UACGUAGGGGGCAAGCGUUGUCCGGAAUCAUUGGGCGUAAAGAGCGCGUAGGCGGCCCUGUAAGUCCGCUGUGAAAGUCAAGGGCUCAACCCUUGGAUGCCGGUGGAUACUGCAGGGCUAGAGUCCGGAAGAGGCGAGUGGAAUUCCUGGUGUAGCGGUGAAAUGCGCAGAUAUCAGGAGGAACCCCGAUGGCGAAGGCAGCUCGCUGGGACGGUACUGACGCUGAGGCGCGAAAGCGUGGGGAGCAAACAGG
rnacentral:rRNA from 1 species